rnacentral:rRNA from 1 species
AUUGAACGCUGGCGGCAUGCUUUACACAUGCAAGUCGAACGGCAGCACGGGGGCAACCCUGGUGGCGAGUGGCGAACGGGUGAGUAAUGCAUCGGAACAUGCCCAGUCGUGGGGGAUAACGUAGCGAAAGUUACGCUAAUACCGCAUACGUCCUGAGGGAGAAAGCGGGGGAUCGCAAGACCUCGCGCGAUUGGAGUGGCCGAUGUCAGAUUAGCUAGUUGGUGGGGUAAAGGCCCACCAAGGCGACGAUCUGUAGCGGGUCUGAGAGGAUGGUCCGCCACACUGGGACUGAGACACGGCCCAGACUCCUACGGGAGGCAGCAGUGGGGAAUUUUGGACAAUGGGGGCAACCCUGAUCCAGCCAUGCCGCGUGCGGGAAGAAGGCCUUCGGGUUGUAAACCGCUUUCAGCCGGAAAGAAAUCGCUAUUCCUAAUACGAGUGGUGGAUGACGGUACCGGAAGAAGAAGCACCGGCUAACUACGUGCCAGCCGCCGCAGUAACAC